GCUACAAGGCCGUAGAGUUGCCAGCUGAAGGUAUUUGCUGGCAACGCUUCAAAGCCGUGUUAGAUUAAAAAAUUACACCCAAUUUACUACCAAUUUAGCGAUUGUUUCCGAAUGGGAUGUGCAAAGUAAAUGUUCGUUAUGAUUUUGUAGAUUAAAUUAUAACCGCUGAUAGUUGCAUACAAAC